AGACGAAAGAUGAUCAACAUUCUUGUUUCGCCGAUGACAGAGACUCAUGGGACAUCACAACUGCGCAGGGUGAGAGAGACGUUUGCACAAGGCAUCGUCUCCUUGUUCCCAUACCUGAAGGAUUCCUACACCGCAAAUGGAUAUGAACAUUAUUACAACGCUAAUAGUGGAGAAGGGUACCUCUCGUAUAGAAUCAAAACCAUUCAGAGAAAUUUGGCUUCAUCAGAGAAACGGCCCACUUAAAUAUACUCUGGAGGUCUAACUGCUGAGAGGGAGUCCAGUCUAUCCACUUUGGCUACCCUGAGUGAAGACCAGUGCCGAGAGGCCAUUUCUCUUAUGAAGCAUUCUUCUGAUGAAGAAACAGUCAAACAGAAGAUGAAAUUGACCUUUGAGUACAGGAAGAAGAUGACCCACGACCCGAGUAAAUGCUCCACCAUCCUAACUGAAUUUCCACGCUUUCUUGAUGUGAAGGGCUGGAUUGAACAGGAUUUUGUGCUGCGAGAGGGAGAGGGAACAUCAGCCAAGGUUUUGGAGAGGUGGCCAACUACAUUCAAGCAAAAGAUCAUCAUGCUAAGCAAGACCCUAAGCAAGACUACUCAGGGAGCUGAACUUCAGGAGCUGAUCCAGAUGGCAGAAUCUGCAGUUGAUGAGGGAGCUGACAUGAAUGCUGAUGGAUGGGACGGUGACAUUUCCUCCAUCCUUCUCCUGCUCCAUUUGACUCCUCCUUCAUCACAAGGCCGCAAAAGACCAGGAAAGAUGUCUGCAUCCCAAGCUGAACAUCAUCUUGUGAUAUUCCAAAAGGCAGGAACCAGUAUCCAGGAGCUCCUUGAUGUGAUUGACCAGAGCCGCCAACCAUAUCUUCUUGCAGUCGGG
rnacentral:lncRNA from 1 species